AUUGAUAGUCGUCGAAAGAUUUUUUUGUAAUCAGGUUGUAUGUAGAUUGUAUUCAGUAUGAAGCAGAAAUCAUUUAAUAUUUUUUUGGUUUGUUUUUUAAGCUGUGUGUUUGGAGGUUUAAUAUAUGAAGCUUGCAAAGACAAUGUACCUAGUCAAGCAUGCUUCAAUUGUACAGACCCUGUUAUGAAUCAAUUUUGCCAAUCAACAUGCAAU
rnacentral:lncRNA from 1 species